AAGUGGAGCAAUCCAUGAGUAAAGUGGCGCACGGGUGAGUAACACGUGACUAACCUACCCUCGAGUGGGGAAUAACCUCGGGAAACCGGGGCUAAUACCGCAUAAUGUCUUCGGACCAAAGGAGCAAUUCGCUGGAAGAGGGGGUCGCGGCCGAUUAGCUAGUUGGCGGGGUAACGGCCCACCAAGGCAAUGAUCGGUAGCCGGCCUGAGAGGGCGCACGGCCACACUGGAACUGAAACACGGUCCAGACUCCUACGGGAGGCAGCAGUGGGGAAUUUUGCGCAAUGGGGGAAACCCUGACGCAGCAACGCCGCGUGGAGGAUGAAGCCCCUUGGG
rnacentral:rRNA from 1 species